GACGAACGCUGGCGGCGCGCCUAACACAUGCAAGUCGAACGGAGUCAAGAGGAGCUUGCUUUUCUUGACUUAGUGGCGAACGGGUGAGUAACGCGUGAGUAACCUGCCCUGGAGUGGGGGACAACAGUUGGAAACGACUGCUAAUACCGCAUAAGCCCACGGAUCUGCAUGGAUCUGCGGGAAAAGGAUUUAUUCGCUCUAGGAUGGACUCGCGUCCAAUUAGCUAGUUGGUGAGGUAACGGCCCACCAAGGCGACGAUUGGUAGCCGGACUGAGAGGUUGAACGGCCACAUUGGGACUGAGACACGGCCCAGACUCCUACGGGAGGCAGCAGUGGGGGAUAUUGCACAAUGGGGGAAACCCUGAUGCAGCGACGCCGCGUGGAGGAAGAAGGUUUUCGGAUUGUAAACUCCUGUCGUUAGGGACGAUAAUGACGGUACCUAACAAGAAAGCACCAGCUAACUACGUU
rnacentral:rRNA from 1 species